CCAGGGUACAUCCUCAUUAAAACCAAGAGAAGGGCAUUGCCAGGGGUCUUUCCACUGGAAUAUAAAACGUGGCAUCGACAGCCCCUUCUCCAUCAAGAUGGAGGAACAGGUUCCCGUACUGUACAGGGGACUACGGCGGCGACAAGUCAAGUUGGAGAUGAAUGGCCUCACUACAGAGACAUUCGAUGAAAGGUGGAGAAGGCUCGCAGCACCAAUGCGUCGCAAGUUAGUUAAGGCUUGCGAUUUCAAGGCGGAAAUUGAAUUCGAUGGAUACUUCGUCUACAUGCUUACUCACCCUGAAGAAGGCAAUUUCAGAUGGGUACUUGUUAGUAUUAGUCAACUUCAAGACACGUCGAAAGGGCUUCAGCCAAGUGGGACGAAGCUGACGUGCGUCGCAAAAGGCGUGUAUGUGGAGAGAUUAUCUUGCUUCCGUCAGAGUAAGAAGAUAAUGUCAAGGUAAACAUAAAACUUGGGCACGCUCAUAUUCAAAUACAAAUGCUGAGUUCCUUUGAGUAAAGACCUAGUGAUACAUAUGUACAUUUGACUCUAUUUUAAACAUGACUGCACCUAUACGAAAUAAAGGCUUUUACAACUCAUU